rnacentral:piRNA from 1 species
UACACACACAAUGCAAGGACCUUUGCCUC